GGGGCUGUAGCUCAGUUGGCUAGAGUGUUAGACUGGCAGUCUAAAGGUCGUGGGUUCGAGCCCCAUCAGCUCCACAA
rnacentral:tRNA from 1 species